UACGAAGGGGGGCUAGCGUUGCUCGGAAUCACUGGGCGUAAAGCGCACGUAGGCGGGUCCUUAAGUCAGGGGUGAAAUCCCGGAGCUCAACUCCGGAACUGCCUUUGAUACUGGGGAUCUUGAGUCCGGAAGAGGUGAGUGGAACUCCGAGUGUAGAGGUGAAAUUCGUAGAUAUUCGGAAGAACACCAGUGGCGAAGGGCGGCUCACUGGUCCGGUACUGACGCUGAGGUGCGAAAGCGUGGGGAGCAAACAGGG
rnacentral:rRNA from 1 species